GAGACAGAGCAUGAACGGGGGAGGGGCAGAGAGAGAGGGAGACACAGAAUCUGAAACAGGCUCCAGGUUCUGAGCUGUCAGCACAGAGCCCGACGCGGGGCUCGAACUCACGGACCGCAAGAUCGUGACCUGAGCCGAAGUCGGCCGCUUAACCGACUGAGCCACCCAGGCGCCCCUUAACAACUGUUAAAAUAAGAGAAAAGCAAAUGUACCAAUAACGGAUGCAUAUUAAUGAAUCCAGCCUAAAUUAUAUUAGGUUUUAUAAAAACAGUAAAAUAAUCACGUUUAAUAUUUUCUCAUGGACAAGACCCAGGAGACGAAAGGGCCUGCGACCCAGGAAGUUCAUGAUGCGGCUCGCUUGACCCAUUCCGCAUCGGGGAGACGCUGGGCCGGGGUCUGGUAUGGGGUUCGCAUGAGCGACCGCCCCUUUGCGCUGGCGGCUCCUUUGUGGGGGUCGACCCGGGAACCUCGGUGGGGUGCGCGCCCCACCUGCCGGGCACCGACGGGACUGCAGUCAGGGGCGGGGCCGGCGCCGGAGGCCGCCAGGUGGCGCCGUGUCCCCUGAAAACGACUUUCCCGGGUCAGACGGGGAAACUGAGGCCCGCGGAGUUAUUUUCUCCCCUGUGGCUUCUUCUGAAUGUUCUACGGUAGAAUUGCCAGAUAAAUACCAGAUUCGCGGUUAAAUUUUAAGUGUAUCCUAAGUUUUGCCCAGGACCUACUUAUACUAAAAAGUUUUUCAUUGUUUAUCGGAAAUUGAAAUUAGCCCCUUUCCCUACCCCGGACCCCCAGGGUUUAUCCCUAUCAGGUGACCCUGGGGCCCAUCCCACCCUCUCUCUCGGGUGUGCUGGCACAUGCCUGUUCCUGGCAGCUCAAAAGGCAAGACCCGUGGUAGUAAUGAAUAAUAAACUGGAAAAGUCUCCACCUACCUUGGACCGUGUCCCUCCCUGCUUAGGAGCCUCCAUGGUUCCCACCACCCUCAGGAAAGAUCUGGCUUAUCCCUGCAGCUGGCAGUCUUCCCACUGCUCUCUCCUCUGGCCCCGCAGGCCUUCUAGCUGUUUCUCACCAGAUGUUUCCUGCCCCAGGGCCUUUACACUGUCUGUGCUCCCCAUCUGUUGUGCUCUUCCCCCACCUCCGAGCUGCGUUCACAUUUCCCAGACUUGCCUGCUCCAGGAAGCCUUCCCGGACUCACCCCCACCAAGGUCAGGCUCCCAGUGACCCACGAAGGGCACACAUGUCUUUCUCAUGACCCUUUCUGCUCCUCUAACUCUGCAUCUGUCCAGGUAGUCUGCCCCUUCCGUCCAAGACCAGGCAGGGACUGUGUACAGGAAGCCCCUCCUCACUGCCGUGGCCCGACCCCCAGCGCAGAGCCUGGCACACAGGAGGGGCUCCGAAAACGAGGUCCAGCUAAAUGGGCCCCAAACGACUCCUCUUCCUAGACCUCCCUGUCAGCCCUUCAACUUUGUGUGUUUUCCUGAGAUAAUCGUGAAUCCUGACUCAGAACUUCGCCAGGCUUCCCCCGACAGUGACAUUUUGCAAAACUGGAUUUUGACACUGAUGCAAUCCACCCACCUUCUUUGCAUUUCCCCGUUUUAUGGGACAGGAGUGAGCCAUCAGGAGGGUCCCUCCUGCUGCCCCCCCCCCCACCUCGCUCACCGCCCCUAUCGCCCUCACCCCGGCAACCACCGGUCUCUUCUCCAUCCCCAUAACGCUCUCUCCUCCGGGUGCUGUUAGAACCACACAUCGUGUAACCUUGGGGGUUGCCUGAUUUUCCCCGCGUGAUUCUGGGAGAUGCGUCCGAGGGGCCGCGUGUCUGCCCCGCGCCCGCAACUGUCUGCUGCUGAGUUGUGUCCCAUGGUGUGGGUGGGCGAGUGUGCUCGCCCACACGCGUGUCGUGGACGCCCGAGUUACCCCGUGUGGGCUGCCGCAGAAACUGUGCCACUCCCUCUGCACACACCUUCUCUCUUAACCCCCACAACACACUUGGUCAUUCAUCCCACAAAUAUCUAAUCAGCCUGACCAUGCGCUGGGCGCUGGGGAUACGUGGGGGACCACGUGAGACAGGCAGCCAGCAGGUACAACACAGGGACAUCAGAACCGUGAUGGGGGCAGCGCUGGACGCAGAGAGCUCCAGGAAGGCUUCCCGGAGGAGGAGGAGCCAGCUGAGCUGAGACUUGACGGACGAGUGAGGCACAGCUGGCACGACAGCCAGACCUGCGUGUGCAAAGGCCCAGAGGCCAGAGGGAUGGCAGCAGUUCAAGCAGCUGCAGAGAGAGGGGCCGUGCUGUUUCCAGAUAAGUUGGGAGCCCUGGAGCCCUCCCAGAGAUGGGAGGGGGUCCUGCGGGAGUGACUAAGCCUCAGCCGGCAGGGCUGUUGGGGGAAGGCUAAACUAAUCCUGCGCAGGCAGCCCCACCCCAGCGACGUCUGGGCGGGGCGAGGCUCUGACGGGCUCGCAGCAAUCCGGGUGCAAGCAGCGGUGUGGGGCUUCUGAGCCCGGGCCUCCAGGCUCUUCCUGGAACCUGUGCCAAGGGAUGAGCCUGACUUUCCGGGAGCACCAUGCGGCCAUGCGGGGAGGAA